UACGUAGGGGGCUAGCGUUGUCCGGAAUCAUUGGGCGUAAAGCGCGUGUAGGCGGUCCGGUAAGUCCGCUGUGAAAGUCGGGGGCUCAACCCUCGAAUGCCGGUGGAUACUGUCGGGCUAGAGUGCGGAAGAGGCGAGUGGAAUUCCUGGUGUAGCGGUGGAAUGCGCAGAUAUCAGGAAGAACACCCGUGGCGAAGGCGGCUCUCUGGGACGGUACUGACGCUGAGACGCGAAAGCGUGGGGAGCGAACAGG
rnacentral:rRNA from 1 species